rnacentral:rRNA from 1 species
AGUGAACGCUGGCGGUGGGCCUAACACAUGCAAGUCGAACGGCAGCACAGUAAGAGCUUGCUCUUACGGGUGGCGAGUGGCGGACGGGUGAGGAAUACAUCGGAAUCUACUUUUUCGUGGGGGAUAACGUAGGGAAACUUACGCUAAUACCGCAUACGACCUACGGGUGAAAGCAGGGGAUCUUCGGACCUUGCGCGAUUGAAUUAGCCGAUGUCGGAUUAGCUAGUUGGCGAGGUAAAGGCCCACCAAGGCGACGAUCCGUAGCUGGUCUGAGAGGAUGAUCAGCCACACUGGAACUGAGACACGGUCCAGACUCCUACGGGAGGCAGCAGUGGGGAAUAUUGGACAAUGGGCGCAAGCCUGAUCCAGCCAUACCGCGUGGGUGAAGAAGGCCUUCGGGUUGUAAAGCCCUUUUGUUGGGAAAGAAAAGCAGCAGGUUAAUACCCCGCUGUUCUGACGGUACCCAAAGAAUAAGCACCGGCUAACUUCGUG